rnacentral:rRNA from 1 species
CCCUUAGACGUUCUGGGCCGCACGCGCGCUACACUGACACAGGCAACGAGCUUUCCUUUACCAAAAGGUAUGGGUAAUCUUUUGAAACUGUGUCGUGCUGGGGAUAGAUCCUUGCAAUUUUUGAUCUUAAACGAGGAAUUCCUAGUAAGCGCGAGUCAUCAACUCGCGUUGAUUACGUCCCUGCCCUUUGUACACACCGCCCGUCGCUACUACCGAUUGAAUGGCUUAGUGAGGCCUCAGGAUCCGCGCUUAAUGUGUGGAGAAUUUGGACAAACUACGUCAUUUAGAGGAAGUAAAAGUCGUAACA